rnacentral:lncRNA from 1 species
GAGCAUUCUGUAGCUGUAUUUUACAGAACUGUAAUUGCACAGAUUGUUCCUCUUACAAGAGAAAUAUCCAGAGCUCUAAGAAAACAACUGAUGAAAACGACAUGCGUGACAUUUGGUGCUGAAGACCCAGGUCAGAGAGACUCCUUUGGGGGACCAGUCCGCUGUCCUUGCCCUCACUCUGUGAGGAGACCCACCUACGACCUCGGGUCCUCAGACCAACCAGCUCAAGGAACAUCUCACCAAUUUCAAAUCGGGACCCCACUGGAAAAUGGACUGUCCAACUCACCCGGCAGCCACUCCCAGAGCCCCUGGAACUCUGGCCCAAGGCUCUCUGACUGACUCCUUCCCAGAUCUUCUCGGCUCAGCAGCUGAAGACUGACACUGCUUGAUUGCCUGGGAAGCCUAUAGGACCAUCACAGACACUUUGGAUAACUCUUACAGUGAAGGACAAAAAAGCGCCACUGCAGGGAGGAAUGCCAGGGUCCCAUAGAGGGAGACCGACAGUGAAGUGGAGCCUGCCAUGAAUUCACCAAAGGCCAUUCUCCCUUUCUUCCAGAAGAACAGCAUUUAGCUGGGCCUAUGGCUACCUACCUAAAGACUGCACCUCUUAGUCACCCUUGUGGCCAGGUGUGGCCACGUGACAGUGGAAUGUAAGUGGAAGUGAUGUAUGCACUUGGGUUCAUUGGUUUAAAAAAAAAUAUGACCGCCCUCCAUUUCCACUCUUUGUCUUAUCUGUGAAUGGGAACAUGGCUGUGUCUGCAGCCCGACUUUGUGCAGCAAAGGACAAGGCCCUAGGGGAAGGUGGAGAAACAAGAUGGAACAACUUGGACCCAACAACUUGGAUCCCUAUGUGGCCAUGUGGAGUCAUCUCACCCACCUGGGCCACUCACCCCGAAGACUGUUGUGUGAGGGUGAAAUAAACUUCUGUAUCACUAGCCCCUGCAUUUCAGAAAUUCUUUGUUAUGGCAGUUUUGCCUUUAUCCUAACACAGACAGCAAAGUAUCUUCUGUGGCCCCAUGACUAAUUUCGUUGUUUAAACUCAUUAUAAAAACUAUAUAAAUAAAAUAUUAAAAAUCAAAUAAAAUAGCAAGAUAACACUGUGUAACUAUCCAGUUUUAGAUGUUAUUACCUUUUUGGCAUAUUUACCUCAUCUAUUUUCUCCAGGGGUUUUUAAAGAAGAGUCAUGCUUGUUAUUUUAAAUUAUCUGCAGUGCUCCUUGGUCUUAUAAAACUAUGGGUUAUUUCAAACUUCGGUAAAUGUCUGAUACACAUGAACUUCUUGCAUUGUUGAGGAAAUCAGAGAAAAAUGAUGCUGUUUUUCCCUUGUAAGUUGACAAUGGAUGGAGAUGAAACCACCUUUGCAAAAUUAUGGCAAUAAGAGAAAUUGGACAUGGCAGACUCCAUCUUGCUUUUAGCCUCACAGGUUGGCUGUCUUGGCUCAUUCCUGGGCAUAAGCCAAGCUAACUUUGGCAGAAAUUGAGUUUAUAGUGUAAACGAUAAUAGCCUUUCCCCAAAACUAAACUACCCUUGUAAAAUUAAUGAAAGGCCACCAAGUUAGGAGGAUGAGAAGGGCCUGAAUGCCUGAAUUCAGCCAUUAUUCUGGAAGUCACAAGAUGUGCAACCUCCCCAGUUACUCCUGUAAAUAACUUCAGUAUUGUAGAACCUAAGAUUGGCCUUUUGACAGCCUUUUGCAUUUCUGACAACUAGAUGGCCCCACGCAGACCCGUGACUCAACCAGUCCUAUAGCCUUCAUCCAAAAAUGGACUCAGUGCAUGAGGACUGUUUUCCACACCCUUAUGAUUGCAUCCCAAACCAAUCAGCAGCACCCAUACCCUAUCCCCUGCACACCAAACUAUCUUUGAGAAACUCCUAACCUCUGAUUCUUUGGUGAGAUUGAUUUAAGUAAUAACUCUGUCUCCCACAUGGCGUGGCUGGCGUCGUGUC